ensembl:lncRNA
AUGGUCCCUCCGACGCCGAGAAAAUCUCUGAGGGUUCCUUCAAAACAGCCGCUUGCUAAAAAGAGGGCGACCCAAAGCUCCUCCUCUUCUGCCUCUUCUAAAAAAGACGCCCCUUCCUCUUCGACGACAUCUUCUAGGAGAUCCUCUCCGAUCGCUCCCGCCCAGCGGCCUCGACAACCCUCUCCUCGGCAACUUUCCGAUGGCGAACUGCAGGACUCACCCCACCACUCCACCCAAACUGUGGUCAGGGUGCCAUCGCCUCGGUCUGCUGCCUUGCAUCGUCCGUCCCGUCAGCAGCUUUUUCCCCCGACCUCGACACCGGAACGGGGUAGACAAACCACCCGCUUGGCUCGGGCUGCCCAAGCCUCGGCCUCCAAAGAGACUCGGCCGCAGAUCGCUCCUGCUCUUGAGGCUUUGCCUCCCCCAGAGACUGUGCUGUCAUCUCCCCCUCAGUCCCCUCAAGGGGCUGAGGACGAUGAGAUUGAUAUCGAUCGUCCUGACUCCGCUCUCUCGGCCUCGGUGAUAUCUCUUGGUCUCGAUCUCUCUCCUCCUCACGACGCUUACGAGGUGUAUCCUCCCCCGCCUAUGGACAAUAUUCGGGCCUUCUCGGACCAGAUGGUGAGGAUGGCCGAUGCUCUGGGAUUAGAGAUCAAGCAAACUUCUAAGGCGGUGUCUGACCCGGUUUUCAAACGGGUCCAAGCUCAAGCCCCUCCUGCCACACUGUUGCCGUUUCUGCCUUACCUUCUGGAUGUCAUCCAAGCAUCCUGGAAGACCCCUUCCUCGAUUCCUCCUACCUCAAAGAGGAUCGAAUCCUGGUACCGUACAGAUGACGAUACCUUGGAGUGGCUUAAACACCAUCCCGACCCGAACUCCAUGGUCGUCAAAGCUUCACAGACCUCCGGUCGUGAAUCAAACACACCUGCAGAUAGAGAAGGCAAGAGGUUUGACGCGGUGGGCCGAAAGCUCUACUCUGGGGCCCUCCUACUUUGUAGAAUGGCGAACUAUGGGGCCUGUAUGGGUGCAUACCAGCAGAUCCUUUGGGAGAAGGCACAGCCUUUUUUCUCGAAGUUGUCUGACGAGGACCGAUCUGUACUGUCCACCCUUCAACAAGAAGCCGACUCGUUAGCCCAUCAUCAAAUUCAGAUGGCUAAACAUACAGGUGACACGGCCGGUAAGAUGAUCGCCCAUGCCAUUGCCAUUCUUCGCCACGCCUGGCUGAGGUCGUCGGGUUUGUCUUCUUCCUCCAGACAAGUUAUUGAAAACCUUCCUUUCGACGCUUUGGGUCUUUUCAAUUCUGGCACCGACAAUAAACUCAAAACUAACCAUGAUUUUAAGGUUCUGGCUACCAAGUGUGGUGACCAGCCUCAAACGCACCGCACCAGAUGGUUUCCUCAGUGCUUCCGACGCUUUCCGCCCCCGUCUUACCGUCACCAAUCCUUCAGGCGUCCCUCGGUUUCAAACAACCAGAACCGCCAACAGCCUCGCCGCUCCGCCCAUCCGCAAAAACAAUGCGGUCGAACCACUCCCACCUCUGGUCAGCCCCAUCGGCGUACCUGA